CUCUAUUUGAUUUCAGUUCUCAUCGAUUUUUUUAAAUUUCUCGAGAGAAAAAGCAAAUAAAUUAAAUAAAAUCAAACACUAUUUUCUGCUUUUAUAAUUUGAUUUCUCUCUCAGAUCUGUUCGUAGAUCUUCAAUCGCCGUCUUCCUUUUGUCUUUUUUUUUCAACAUUAUCUGGUUUAAGAAAUUUUCACGAAUUAUUGGAAAUUGCAUUUUCGAAGAAAUACAUUUACAUCUUCUUCGAAUUUUUGGAUUUUCUCCACCUCCGUUGAUAAACAAAUUUUAAAAA